GCACAGAUCCUUCAGUACUUCCAGGUCAUUUUCGAUGUGUGUGUGUGUGUGUGUGUGUGUGUGUGUGUGAGAGGCUACUAUGCUUUUCGAAGCACAGAGCCUUCCGUGGUUCCAGGUCGUUUUCGAUGUUGCGACUUUCGAAUCGUCGAUCGGCUCCGUUAAACUUGAUCUAGAGUAUUUGAAGUACCUAGAAAAUAAAUUUUAUGAUUUUUCGAUAUCAACUGCCUAGUGAUCGAAGGGGCUCAAAAUCAAUAAUUUUAAUGGUCGUAGUAAGCCGUUUGCAAGUUUAACGGUGUAGAAAUAUUCAAAUCACGUGAAAUUUUGAUAGAAAAUUCUUUAUACUAUAUAAAACAAGAUCAAUAUCUUUGAUCUAAAAUUUUAAUGUCAUAUUAUCACGUUUUGUAAGAUUUUUAUUUUCAGCCGUUGAUUUUGAGCCCCUUCGUUCACUAGGCAAAUAAUAUCGAAAAAUCGCAUAAUUUAUUUUCUAGGUACUUCAAAUACUCUAGAUCAAAUUUAACGGAGCCGAUCGACGAUUCGAAAGUCGCAACAUGAAAACGACCUGGAAGCAUGGAAGGCUCCGUGCUUCCAGAAGCAUAGUAGCCUCACUCUUUAUAUAUAUAUANNNNNNNNNNNNNNNNNNNNNNNNNCUCUCUCUCUCUCUCUCUCUCUCUCUCUCUCUCUCUCUCUCUCUCUCUCUCUAUAUAUAUAUAUAUAUAUAUAUAACUAGGCUACUAAUAGCACGAAGUUAUUGGUGCUACCAAGUUUUUGGCCAUUGGAUUAUAAGAUGUGCGGUUAGGAUGAUAUGGGCCUCCUAGGGUUGAGUGGGUGGUUGGUUGAAUAGUAUGAUCUAACGGAUGAAAAUGAUCAAAAGGGUAGAUCUAACGCCGGAAAACUUGGUAGCACCAAAUGCUUCGUGCUAUUAACAGCAUAGUAGCCGGACUCUAUAUAUAUAUAUAUGCUAUUAUACUAUCUAUAGUACCAAGUGCUUGGUACUAUCGAGUUUUUGACCGUUGGAUGAAAGGAUGUGCGGUUAAGAUGAUAGUAAUCCUCUAUGAUUGAGUAGGUGAUUGAUUAAAUAGUAAAAUCUAAUGGGUGAAAAUUAUCAAAGGAUAGAUCUAACGGUAGAAAAUUCGAUAGUACCAAGAGGUUGGUACUAUCAACAGUAUAGUAGCCAGACUCUCUCUCUCUCUCUCUCUCUCUCUCUAUAUAUAUAUAUAUAUAUAUAAUUGAGCUAGAAUACUCUUAAAAGCACCAACCCCUUGGUGCUUUUGAGUUUCUAGCCAUUGGAUCUACUCUUUUAUUACUAAUAACCUUUGGAUCAAACACUAUUCCAUCUACCACCACCUACCACCAUCAUAUCAACUUUACAUCUCUCCAUCCAAUAGCUAAAAAUUCAAACGCACUAUCCUCUUGGUGCUUUUGAGAGUAUUCUAGCUCAACUCUAUAUAUAUAGAGAGCUAGGCUCCUAUGCUUUCGAAAGUACAGAGGCCUCCGUGCUUGUAAGUUAUUUUCGAUGAUGGGACAUCCGAUUCAGUAAUCGGUUCCGUUAGACAUGAUCUAUGCUAUUGGAACUAUCUAGAAACCAAAUUUUAUAAUUUUUUGACUUCGUUUGCCUAGUUAACGAGUAGUCUCAAAAUGAAAGGCUGAAAAUAAAAAUCUUAUAAAAAAUAGUGAUAAAAGACUCAAAUUUCAAAUCGGAAGUAUUAUUCUUGCUCUUGAUGUNAUAUAUAUAGCUAAAUUACAGAAAACCCCCUUAUUAAUACCCAUUUUUUCACUUCCCCCCCCUGUCAUUUAAAAAUCUACACUUUGUCCUCUUGAAAAAUGAGAAAUGUUCACUUUGGUCUCCCACCGUCAGUAUUCCGUUAGGGUUCCGUUUAUAUCCUAUUAUUAUAUACUUUUUAUACCAAAAAUACCCUAUCCUCCCUGCCACCUCCUUCAUCGCCACCCUACACCGCCGCCACGCCCUACACCGCAGCCUUGCCCUCGCCUACCCCUCUAUUCGCGUCCACACACAUGCUCUCGUGCUCCUUCGCCGUCUCGCACUCGCCCUCGCCCUCGUACGCCUCGCUAUCCAUUCCCACUCCGAUCUCCUCCCUAUCGUCGUCGAAAUGGAGGGGCAACGCGAGUGGAGGAAGAGCUGGGGAGCAUGUGGAGGAAAAUGGAGUCGGAGCUGCGGUUGAGCGAGGCGCGAAGAACGGAAGAGGAGGGGUGACGGCUGAGCGAGAUAGGGGGAAAAGACGAAGAUGGUGAGGGGCAUUUUGGUCAUUUUGCCACGGUGUACCCCCUAUUAAUAUUUCUCAUUUGAAAAUUUUUCAAGGGGGCAAAGUAUAGGUUUUUAAAUGACAGGGGGAAAAGUGAAAAAGCGAGUAUUUACAAGAAGGUUUUUUGUAAUUUAGCAUAUAUAUAUAUAUAUAUAUAUAUAGAGAGAGAGAGAGAGAGAGAGAGAGAGAGAGAGAGAGAGAGAGAGAGUCCGGCUACUAUACUCUUAUGAAUACGAUCGCCCUAGUACUCAUAAGUUGUUUUCGAUGAUAGAGUUUUCGAAUCGACGAUCCAUACCGUCAAACGCUAUCUAGAGCAUUUAAAACUUUUAGAAAUCAAAUUUCAUAAUUUUUCGACAUCAUUUACCUUAUGAUCAAAAGGUUACAAAUUUGGCAAUUUUUAACGGCCAGUAUAGAAUACUUGCUAGUUUAACGGUGUAAAAGAAUCGGAAUAGGUUGAAUUCUUAAUAGAAAAUUCUAUUCACUAUCUAGAUAAAGAUCAAUAACUCCAAUCUUAAAUUGAAGGAUUCGAUCAUCCAUUUUUAGGACGUCGUUCGAUUUCGAUCGUUCAUUUUGUACCCGCUUGAUGGACUUUAUUAUGAUUUCGAAAAAUUACGAAAUUUAUUUUUUAGAAGUUUCAAAUACUCUAGAUCAUAUUUAACGGAGUGGAUCGCCGAUUCGGAAGUCCCAUCAUCAAAAACAACUUAUUAAUACGAAGGGCCCAAUACUCAUAAGAAUAUAGUAGCCCUACUCAUAUAUAUAUAUAUAUAUAUAUAUANNNNNNNNNNNNNNNNNNNNNNNNNNNNNNNNNNNNNNNNNNNNNNNNNNNNNNNNNNNNNNNNNNNNNNNNNNNNNNNNNNNNNNNNNNNNNNNNNNNNNNNNNNNNNNNNNNNNNNNNNNNNNNNNNNNNNNNNNNNNNNNNNNNNNNNNNNNNNNNNNNNNNNNNNNNNNNNNNNNNNNNNNNNNNNNNNNNNNNNNNNNNNNNNNNNNNNNNNNCUAUAUCGAUAUAUAGUAUAUAUAUAACAUAUAUUAAUUGAGCUAGAAUACUCUUAAAAGCACCAACCCAUUGGUGCUUUUUGGAGUUCAGCAUUGAUCUACUCAAUUUUAUUACUACAUAACCUUUGGAUCAAACCACUAUUACAUCCUACCACCACACUACCUACCAUCCAUAUCAACUUUGACAUCUCUCCAUCCAAUAGCUAAAAAUUCACAACGCACUAUCCUCUUGGUGCUUUUGAGAGUAUUCUAGGCUCAACAAAUCUUAUAUUAGAGAGCCGCUCUAAUGCAUUCCGAGUACAGAGGCCCGUCCCUUGUAAGUUAUUUUCGAAUGAUGGGACAUCCAUUCAGUAAAUUCGGUUCCGUUAACACUGAUCUAUGCUAUUAGAAACUAUCUACGAAACCAAAUUUUAUAAUUUUUUGACUUAUCGUUUGCUAGUUACGAGUUAGUCUCAAAACUGAAAAGGACUGAAAAUAAAAAUCUAUAAAACAAUAGUGGAUAAAAGACUCAAUAUUUAAAUCGGAAGUAUUAUUGCUGCCUUAUUAAGUAGAAUUUUCAAUUAAGUUAUCAUGUAUGGGAUGGAACUUCUACACGUUUGAACUUAAAACGGUGCACAUCGCCGGUGAUAAUAUAGUCGAUUUUUUGACUCUUAUGAUUCGCUUGGUAAAGAUGUCGAAAAUUUGAAUUUAGAUUCACUAGAUAAUUCAUGACAGUAGAUUAUGCCUAACGCGCCGAUCGUCGAAUCGGAUUCAUAUCUCCGAAGAGUACAACUUACAAGAAGACGAAAGCCUCCGUACUUUCGAAAGCACGGGAAGAACCUACUCUAUCCAGUAUAUAUAUAUAUAUAGUAUAUAUAUACAUAGAUAUACAGAGUUGAUCUAAGAAUAGCUUUUCCAAGUAUCAUCCCACUGUUGCUCAUCACUUUUUAGCCAUUAGAUCGUACUCUUUUGAUUAUUAACUCUGUCCUUGGAUCAAACUACUAUUCCACCUACCACAACCUACCACCACCUCAUCCCCAUCAUCUCAACCUCCACAUCCAUUCCAUCCAAGGGGCUAAAAACAACAGCAAGUAAGCUAUUUGGGUGACUUCAUCUGUAAAAGUAUUCCUAGCCCUACUACUAUAUAUAUAUGAUAUUAUGGGCUAUAUAAUAUAUAAUAUGUAUAUAUAUUAUAUAUAGCAUAUAUAGAGGUAUAUAACAUAUUACUAUAAUACAUAUAUAUAUAUCAUAAUAUUAUUAUAUAUACAUAUAUAUAAUAAUAUAUAUAGUAGUAGUAUAUAUAUAUACUACAUAUAUAUACAUGUUAUAACUAUAUACACUAGGCCAAACGAAGUCAAAAAAUCCCCUGACAUUUAAAAACCUACACUUUGCCCCCCUGUAAAAUGAAAAUUGUGCACUUCACCCCCUACCGUUAGGGUUCCGUUAUAAAAUAAUUUUUUAUGCCGAAAAUACCCCUCCGCCAUUGCUGCCGCCGCCUCCCCGCCCCGCAUUAUGCUCCCAUGACCGUAAUUCGCAGUGCCGGAGGCGGGCACGUCGCUCCACGCUACGGGCCUCAGCGGCACCGCGCCGGGUUUCGCCGGGCCUCAGCGGCGCCGCGUCGUGCCGUGCUCGUCGUGGAGGCCGCGGUGGGGAUGAUCGGGACGAAGCCCGUGCGGCGGUGCCCGGGUUUGGAAGCGUCGGCGCCGGCGGAGUUGUGAGCGGCCUUCCUGCUCGACCGGAAGAAAAACUCGCCGAAGUGAGUUUGGCGCCCUGCGAGGCCGGCGGAGGAGAGUGAGGAGAGAAGAUGGGGAAGAAGACAACAAUGGCGAGGAGCAAAAUGGUCAUUUUACACACCGUAACCCCCUUGUGAACAUUUUUUAUUUUACAGGGGGUGAAGUGUAGGUUUCUAAAUGUCAGGGAGGAAAAGUAAAAAAGCGAAUUAUUAUAAGGAGGUUUUCUGUAAUUUAGCCUAUAUAAUAUGUAAAAUUUCAUAUAAUUGUACCCAUGGACGCGGCUGAUUUCCGCGUGACCCGACACAUUAACGCCUAUUUAUUCACCCCGCAACCACCCACUACCCCCAAAAACCAAAGAAACCAGCACAACAACCCCUUUCUCUCUCCCUCUGUAUUCAUCUAUCUAGACUAGAAUAGAUCUCUUCGAUCUGAACCAUGAAAACCCCAAUCCACUCCUCUCCUCGGUCGGCAACGCUGCUGCUGCUGCUUCUCGCUCUUCUUCUCCUUCUGACUGCAGCAGUUCACGCUGAGCACGAGCCGAAGGUGGGGGGGCUGACGAAGAUAAAGCACGUGGGGUCGAACAAGGAGGUGCAGGAGCUCGGGCGGUUCUCCGUGGGGGAGUACAACAACCGCCUGCGCGGCCGCGACGCCAAGCCGCUGGCGUUCGUGAAGGUGGUGGAGGGGCAGCAGCAGGUCGUCGAGGGCAUGCAGUACUACCUCAAGAUCGCCGUCGCCGCCCCCGACGGCUCCCACAAGAUCUACAAUGCCGUCGUCUGGGACAGGCCCUGGCUCAAAUCUCGCCAGCUCAUGUCCUUCACUCCCUCUACUAAGUAAAAAAGUAAAAAAAAAUAUAUAUCAACCGUAAACUACUUUUUUAUUAUAUGUAUGCAUGUAUGUGCUUUGCUUAAUCUGUAUGGUGUGUAUUUCUACUGCUAAAGAGAGUGUGACGAGUAAGAAUAAUAAUGAUAAUAAUUUGUAUGGUGUGUUUCUUGUGAAAUAAUAGUUUUUUUUUUAAUAUAUAUAUAUAUAUAUAUAUAUAUAUAUAUAUCAAGAUAACAAAGAAUCCCAAAAAAAAAAUAAAUAAAUAAAUAAAUAAAUAAAUGUAGAAGAGGCCCUCUCUGUGUAAUCUCGAGAGAUCAAGAAGUUUCUGGGGAAUCCCGUCGAUUUCCCCCAAUCAGAGCCCGACAAUUUUGCCUAAAAAACUGCACGGAAUCCUAUGGGUCUACAGGAAACGCUUUUUCCGAGAGAAAUGCCAAUGCUUUAUUUGUUUGUUUGUAAUAAGUGUGCUUAAGCUGAAAAUUUAUUAUUACAAUAAAGUUAAAGGUGAAAAGAAAAAAUUACUAUAGUUGUUCGCUUGAUUGUCUGAUAAAAAAUAAAUGUCUUGAAAACUACAAUUAUUUUCUUAAUCUAUUUUACUAAAAAAGUUUACACUAAGAUAAGGACAAGGAGAAAAGUUAUUUUCAAUUAAUUAUUAUUAAUUUUUUUCAUAAUUAGCUUCCGUACGAUUGGAAGUGAAGUCAAUUCCACAUUUUAGAAAAGUUUGGGUUACAUGCGAAAUUGAUCUUCUGGCGAAUUAAACAACGGAAGUGGGCUUUCAAACCAAGUUUGCUCUCAUCUACUUUGAGUACAACAAGCAUGCCCUAUGUUUUGCAGGAUUAUAGCCUUUAUUCCAAAAUUGUAAUUCUAUUAUCUAAUAUUAAAAUUAUUUCGAGUUUAGUAAUUAAAAAAAGAGUAAUAAAAUUAGCGAAGUUAAGAAAUAGGGAGUCUUGAAUGAUAAAGUUGUAAGGUUACAACCGAAAAGUGAUUGUAGGGUAAAUUGUUAUGAAUUUCAUCCAAUUCAUAUUUGGGAUUUCAGGACCAAAAAAAGGAGUGAAAAUACUUUAUUCUAACUUUAACUUUAUCUGUAACUUUUUAACUUUUGACUUCAUCUAACUUCUAACACUAAGUAUUCCUCUAACUUNNNNNNNNNNNNNNNNNNNNNNNNNNNNNNNNNNNNNNNNNNNNNNNNNNNNNNNNNNNNNNNNNNNNNNNNNNNNNNNNNNNNNNNNNNNNNNNNNNNNGAAAACGAGCUGGAAGCACGGAAGGCUCCGUGCUUCCGAUAGCAUAGUAGCCUUACUUUAUAUACAUAUAUACAUAUAUAUGUACAUAUAUACAUAUAUAUAUAUAUAUAUACAUAUAUACAUAUAUAUAUACAUAUAUACAUAUAUAUUGUUGGACUGGGCUACUAUUAGUAGCAAAAUCUCGUUGUUGCUACCAGUUUUUUAGCCUUUGGAUCAACUUUUUUUAUUAUUUCUAGCCAUUGGAUUAACUACUACAACCCAGUGGGGACCACUCAAUCCUAGGGGGACCACUCAACUCUAACCGACUAAUAUCAUCCUAACCCUACAAUUUUUCAUCCAAGGGUUAAAAACUUGAUAGCAAAAAUAGCGUUUUACUAUUAAUAGUAUUUCAGCCUAAUUCUAUAUAUAUAUAUAUAUAUAUAGAGAGAGAGAGAGAGAGAGAGAGAGAGAGAGAGAGAGAGAAGAGAGAGAGAGAGUGAGGCUAACUAUGUAGUCGGAAGCACGGACCUUCGUUCUUCAACUCAUUGCGAUGUUGCGAUUUUCGAUAUCGUCAAUCCGGUCCUUAAAGAAGUACCUAAAAAAUAAAUUUUAUGAUUUUACGAUAUCAUUUGCCUAGUGAACAAAGGGGGCUCAAAAUCAACAGUUGAAAAUAAAAAUCUUACAAAAUGUAAUAAUAUGACAUUAAAAUUUUAAAUCAAAGAUAUUGAUCUUAUUUUAUAUAGUAUAAAGAAUUUUCUAUCAAAAUUUCACGUGAUUUGGAUAUUUCUGCACCGUUAAACUUGCAAACGGCUCACUACAGCCAUUGAAAUUUGUUGAUUUUGAGCCCAUUCGAUCACUAGGCAAACGAUAUCGAAAAAUAAUAAAAUUUAUUUUCUAAGUACUCCAAAUACUCUAGAUCAAGUUUAACAGAGCCGAUCGACGAUUCGAAAGUCGUAAUAUCAAAAACGAACUGGAAGUACGGAAGGUUCCGUGCUUACGAUAGCAUAGCAGCCUCACUCUAUAUAUAUAUAUAUAUAUAUAUAUGUUGUAUGUUUU
rnacentral:lncRNA from 1 species